CGAAAUGUUGUUUACGUUGCAGUAUGUCGACUGAAUGUAGGUCACCCAGAAAAAACUGGAACAAAAUGGCGAUCGAGUCCGCAGAGGAGGAAAAACUAACGCCUGCCUUCUGGUUGCCAGGCUGGGGUGGAUUUAAUGACUUUAUCGUUGGACUUUAACUUACACAAUAUUUUGUG